GAUGGAGCACAGUAUAAAAGAACUUCUCAUCUUCAUCAGCUUUCUCCAUUGGCAAGUUAGAAGUCUCAAAAGUUCCUCUUUCUUAUAGAAGAGAUUCUUCCUUCAAAACUCUUUGGAUCAGUUUCAUCAUGUACAGCAACUACUGGAAUAAAGCUAAGAGCCUUUUCAGAGCCUCAAACCAGCAAGAAGUUGACAAAGACGUUGCCAAUGGCUAUGCACUGUUAAAAGCCACUUGCACAGGGAAAAAUAUCAGGUUAGGAGUGCAAUGAAAGCUCAAAUGAACUCUAUAACAAGUUAUCGGUGUUAGUAGCCAGAUGCACAAAAAGCUCCAAUGAACUCUAUCACAAGUUAUCCUAUACCGGUGUUAGAAGCCAGGUUAGAGAUGCUAAACUAAGAAGAAGAAAAUAUAAGGUGGUCGUUGUGGUGGAGGGUAAUAAAGAAGCAGAUGUUACCUCUAGUUUAUCUUCUCUCGCCCUAUGGUUCUUCGGAAGUCGUCUGAACUCCUCUGUCAAACGAAGGCAUUCAUGCACAUUUUCUGGAGAGACAAAGUCUACAGCAACUUUGGUGCAGGACUGCACGAUGAAAAGGAAAAAAAAAACGGAGUCAGCAAGACAAACUCAUUGAAAACAAAAAGCAAUCCACACAUAAAGAUUAAAACUUCGUCCAAAAAUAAAAGGGAAGGAUUAAAGCUGAUGAUCUAUAAACCUUAAGAUUUCUAACUUGAUGCGGGCAUCCAGCAGGAAUAAAUACAGCCUCUCCAAGUCUUUGCUCGAAUGUCCAUGGUUCGAUACCUAAAAA